UACGGGGGGGGCAAGCGUUGUUCGGAAUUACUGGGCGUAAAGGGCUCGUAGGCGGCCAACUAAGUCAGACGUGAAAUCCCUCGGCUUAACCGGGGAACUGCGUCUGAUACUGGAUGGCUUGAGUUCGGGAGAGGGAUGCGGAAUUCCAGGUGUAGCGGUGAAAUGCGUAGAUAUCUGGAGGAACACCGGUGGCGAAGGCGGCAUCCUGGACCGACACUGACGCUGAGGAGCGAAAGCCCAGGGGAGCAAAGCGGGG
rnacentral:rRNA from 1 species